CAUCGUCGGGCUUCGCUUUGUCCACAACCUACCACCGCCAUCAUCCGUACACCAUCAUCACUGACCCGGCGUCAUCUCUGCUCUAGCCUGUUGUGUUGAUAACAAGUCUAGGUUAAAGAAAUUUAAGAAGAGAUCAACGUCAUCCACAGUGGCACCACAACGCUUUCACUGAGUUCGAGAAAGUGUUCGAUCGGAUUGGAUGUUCAUAGCAUGCUUCAUUCACGCGCAUGGGUAACACACGAUUGAUUAUACGUAUCAACAACGGAGAUUUGUAUGAGUUAACAACCUGAAAUUUGAUUAAUUGUGAUUACGGUGCCUUUCCAAGUUCCAAUGAUUGACAGGAGAAGACUUGAUUACACCAUGCCAUUGUAGAGGCACCCAAAAAUAUGUCCACAGGUCAUGUCUUGACAAUUGGAGGUCUGCCAGGGAGGGGUUUGCUUUCUCUCACUGCACAGAAUGUAAGGCUGUGUUUAUCCUACGUGCGAAUGUCCCACCAGAUCGCUGGUGGUUGAGGUUGAAAUUUCAGUUACUGGUUGCAAGAGACCAUGCAUUCAUUUUCAUCAUUGACUCAUUGUCCAACUGAUUGUUGCCUUCUUAGGUGUGUUGGUCUACAAAUUUUAUGGAGAUGAACCGAGACAAAGGUUAAGGUCUUUGAUGCUGCUGGGUCUCGGAGCUUGUUCAGGCUGCAUUGCUAUGGCCGCUGAGCGCUGGACGCAUUCAUAUGGACCUGGUUGCAUUAUUGGAACAAGCUUGUUCUGUACAGUCUGCAGACUGCAAUUAUAAAGCUCCUGCUGCACUGGACGGGAGCUUCAGGCUGCUUUUAUAUGGCUGUUAGAAGCUGGUCGCAUCAAACUUUACUCCGGACCUUGCAUUGGUAGCAUUUUUACUGGAAAAGGUCCUGGUUUAUACGUUUGGGCUGGUCAUCUUUUAAAGGCCCAGUUCUGGUUUAUUAGUCAGACUCAAAGGGACUAGGAUUGGGCUGUUAUACUUCGCCGUAAAGUGCUGAAAUACAGGGAUGUGUUGCUGUGUCUGGGAUGAUACGGGGGAAUGCCCCCUUGGUGUAAUUUUUUCAUUGUGUGUUAUAUAAUUUGCCGGGCGAUGCCCUUUAUCCAAAAAAAAGGUUUAUAUUA
rnacentral:lncRNA from 1 species